rnacentral:misc_RNA from 1 species
UCCGGUUUGGCACCGGCAGUCUCCCAUGAGUCCCCGGCAUUACCCGCUGGCAACAUGGAACAGGGGUUGCGCUCGUUGCGCCACUUAAGGCAACACCUCACGGCACGAGCUGACGACAGCCAUGCAGCACCUGUGCAGGCUCCCGAAGGAGGGCCGUAUUUCUACGGAUUUCCAGUGCAUGUCAAGCCCUGGUAAGGUUCUUCGCGUUGCAUCGAAUUAAACCGCAUGCUCCACCGCUUGUGCGGGCCCCCGUCAAUUCCUUUGGGUUUCAGCCUUGCGACCGUACUCCCCAGGCGGGGUGCUUAACGCGUUAGCUAAGGCACCGCAGGGGUCGAUACCCGCGACACCGAGCACCCAUCGUUUACAGCGUGGACUAC